rnacentral:rRNA from 1 species
UGAGUACGGCGGAACACGUGAAAUUCCGUCGGAAUCCGGGAGGACCAUCUCCCAAGGCUAAAUACUACCUAGUGACCGAUAGUGAACCAGUACCGUGAGGGAAAGGUGAAAAGCACCCCGGGAGGGGAGUGAAAUAGUUCCUGAAACCAUGUGCCUACAAUAAGUCAGAGCGCGUUAAUGCGUGAUGGCGUGCCUUUUGUAGAAUGAACCGGCGAGUUAUGAUCCCGUGCAAGGUUAAGACUAAAAAGUCGGAGCCGUAGCGAAAGCGAGUCUGAAAUGGGCGUUUUGAGUACGAGGUUAUAGACCCGAAACCAGGUGACCUAUCCAUGUCCAGGUUGAAGGUGCGGUAAAACGCACUGGAGGACCGAACCCGUGUAAGUUGAAAAUUGCUGGGAUGAGGUGUGGAUAGCGGUGAAAUUCCAAACGAACUUGGAGAUAGCUGGUUCUCUCCGAAAUAGCUUUAGGGCUAGCCUCGGAAUUAGGAUCAUGGAGGUAGAGCACUAUUUGGACUAGGGGCCCGUCUUGGGUUACUGAAUUCAGAUAAACUCCGAAUGCCAUUGAUUCAUAUCCGGGAGUCAGACGAUGAGUGAUAAGAUCCACCGUCGAAAGGGGAACAGCCCAGACCAUCAGUUAAGGUCCCUAAAUGUAUGCUAAGUGGAAAAGGAUGUGGAGUUGCAUAGACAACUAGGAUGUUGGCUCAGAAGCAGCCACCAUUUAAAGAGUGCGUAAUAGCUCACUAGUCGAGUGAUCCUGCGCCGAAAAUGUACCGGGGCUAAGCAUACUACCGAAACCAUGGAUGCGACCAUUAGGUCGCGUGAUAGGAGAGCGUUCUAAGGGCGGUGAAGCAAGAUCGUGAGGACUUGUGGAGCGCUUAGAAGUGAGAAUGCCGGUAUGAGUAGCGAAAGAUAGGUGAGAAUCCUAUCCACCGAAUGACUAAGGUUUCCUGGGGAAGGCUCGUCCUCCCAGGGUUAGUCGGGACCUAAGUCGAGGCCGAGAGGCGUAGACGAUGGAUAACAGGUUGAGAUUCCUGUACUAGUUAAGUGCGUUUGAGCAAUGGAGGGACGCAGGAGGCUAAGAUGUGCAUUCUGUUGGAUUAGAAUGUCCAAGCAGUAAGUCUUGUGAAGAGUCAAAUGCUUUUCACUUUAAGGACAAGCUGUGAUGGGGAGCGAAAUUUAGUAGCGAAGCGUCUGAUGUCACACUGCCGAGAAAAGCUUCUAGUGAGUACUUAACUACCCGUACCGCAAACCGACACAGGUAGUCGAGGAGAGAAUCCUAAGGUGAGCGAGUGAACUCUCGUUAAGGAACUCGGCAAAAUGACCCCGUAACUUCGGGAGAAGGGGUGCUGAUCGCAAGAUCAGCCGCAGUGAAUAGGCCCAGGCGACUGUUUAUCAAAAACACAGGUCUCUGCAAAAUCGUAAGAUGACGUAUAGGGGCUGACGCCUGCCCGGUGCUGGAAGGUUAAAAGGAUGGGUUAGCUUCGGCGAAGCUCAGAAUUGAAGCCCCAGUAAACGGCGGCCGUAACUAUAACGGUCCUAAGGUAGCGAAAUUCCUUGUCGGGUAAGUUCCGACCCGCACGAAAGGCGUAACGAUCUGGGCACUGUCUCAACG